GCCCGGAAGGGGGUAGCGGUCGGGCCCGGCGGCUACGGAUAAAUGGCCCGGAGGCCGGGCGCCGGGAUGCUGCUCCUCGGUGGGCACGGGCCGGCCGCGAUUGUUGUUUGGGUUCUGUUCUCCGCGUCCCUUUGGCCUUGUUCGCCACGGACAGGAGGCUCAAGCUCUCGGCCUCCGCCGCCUUCCUCUCUCCUCGGCGGCUGCCCGGGCCUCUUGGAGGGGCCGGGUCGGGGACGCCGGGCGGGGGUCCGGCCGGGCCGCAGACCUCGGACGGCAGGGCGCCCGUGUCCCAGUACACCGGGGCUCUUGCUCCGCGGACGCAGCGCCGACAGCGCGACCACGGAGGGAUUGAGGUGACGUUUUACUCUGACAUCUGUGUUUUGGACACGUUCUUACAAUGGAGUUCCCUGAUUUGGGGAAGCACUGUUCAGAAAAAACAUGCAAGCAGCUAGAUUUUCUUCCGUUAAAAUGUGACGCGUGUAAACAAGAUUUCUGUAAAGAUCAUUUUACCUACGCUGCACAUAAGUGUCCCCUUGCAUUCACCAAGGAUGUUCGGGUCCCGGUGUGCCCACUCUGUCACAGCCCUGUCCCAGUGAAGAAGGGGGAGAUCCCCGAUGUGGUGGUCGGUGCGCACAUGGAUGGAGAAUGUCGGCGUCCCCCCGGGCAGGAGACGGCGAAGGUGUUUACGUUCCGCUGCUCCAGAGAGGGCUGCAGGAGGAGGGAGAUGCUGCGGGUGGCGUGUGAGGAGUGCCGCGGCAGCUUCUGCCUCCAGCACAGACACCCUCUGGACCAUGGCUGCGCCCGUGGAGGCCACCCCGCCAGCUCAGCCGGGAGGAGUGGAAGCCAGGUCCCCUGCCGCCGUCUCUGACCGUCUCCCGUGUUGUCUGCCUGAGCCAGGCGGAGGGUCCUCUUGUCCCUGCGCGUGUGGCCUCCAUGCUAGAGAUUCAAAGUAAAGCCAUGACGUGACCGAUCCUGCCCAGACUGGCCUGUUCUCGUACGGUACCUGCACUUUGCGGGUGACUUCAUGCUCCAGCAGGUCCCUGCUUCCCACGCGAGCAGGUCUGGCCUGGGUGUCACUCAAGGGGCUUCUGUCACUCAAACCAUCGACAGCGGGUCACACGACAUCUUCCCCUGUGGCUGCUGUGGUGAUCGGCCAUCCGAGCCCAGGUGGAGGGGGACCGCCUCCCCCGUAGGGGUCUUGUCCAGGUGGCCCACCGCUCCUGCUGCACUGGGAGGACAGCCGUGACCCUCUGACUGCAGGCGUUGCGGUGACGCCAGGAGAGCCCUCGUCUCGUGGGGCCUCAGGAGCCAGGAAACCCGAUGGAGAGGAUGCCGUCCGGUUGGGUCCCCAUCAUGAGCCACGGGGCACACAGCCUGGAUGCCAGACAAAAACCCGCGCAGCCACCCCUUGUUUUCUGGGUCUAGAGCCUCAGGAUAUGAUGGAGGGGGCGGUGUGUUGGGUUCCCAGUCUGCAGGUGGGUGAUGCGGCUGUUUGUGGCCUCAUCUGAUUAGUGGUGGCAGGUCUAGGCCGCUGGCUCUCCAGAGGUGCCAGGGUUGCCCCCGCCCCCGCUGCGUUCCUGACACCGUGGGUCUCGGGGCUAUGCGCAUGAAGCACUUCCUGGGGUUCAGGUCCACUGGCGGUCACUAGCUGGUGUUCGGAAGCACUGGUGAGUGUCAGGAACUUGAGUGUGUGUUUCUCAACUGCAAGGUUCAUGACAUCUGUACACAGAUCAGGUCUUUCUCAGGAGAGGUUAAUGUCCAAACUGAGACUCGGUAGCGCUGGAUUUUGAAGACAACACCAAAAAAGAAAAAAAAUCUCGUUAAAAAUAUUUACAGGUUGAAAUAGUAUUUUGGAUACAAUGGAUUAAAUAAAGUAUUAA